GCCCUUUCGCCCAGCGCGGCUGACGGCGUCGUGGUGGGGCCCAUGAGGGGCCGUUGGGCGCCGCCAUUUUACUCCCCCCCCCCCCCUUCCGGCAGCGGUGGUAGCGGCCGUGCCUCGUGGUCUCCAGGGCUCGGUCGGACCGUAGGAGGCAGCGGCGGGGGGGGAGAAGGAGCCUCGCUCCUCUCGUCUCCACAGGCAGCGCAUGGAGGCGGGCACCGACACAGGGCCCCGCCGGGACGGCUUCGGGGCCUGCUCUGCGCAGGAAGAUGUCUUGAAGCAAAGAAUGCCUGGUAUUUCCAGAUAAGCAUGAUGUGAUUAGGACUGGGAGCAGGUAGCUCGGUGGAGCUGGCCGUAACGUGAAGCCCUUCACAAGUCCUGGGAAAGGAAGUGAGACUGCAAGAGCAGGAGAUUCUUUAGGGUGUUCAUGCUGAAAGCAUGUUUGUCUGAGGAAGAAGGAAUCCAAGGAAACGUGUAUGUGAGCUCGGGGACUAGUCUGUGUAAACACUGCAUAUUUUUUCUGUCCGUAGACUUUAAGAAAAGACAGCAGUAAUACUGUUACGAUUACACACAUUAAAAUUCUCAUAAAACCA